GGAUGUGAGGGCAAUCUAGCUGCCACAUCUGUUACCCCAUUGAUCACUAGGGCUGGUUCGGCUGACCUGACUGGCUAGACUGAUGUGCCCCCCCCCCCAGCUUGGUGUGCAUCCUCCCCGAAGCUGGACACUCUGUCCAUGAGGCGAAGAACCUUCCUCAAAUAGAGGAAGACCGGUCUUCCGUCAAGGGUAGCUGUGCUCCCUUGCUAGAACCUCCAAACCACCUCCCAGGAAAAGGCCUUGUGGGGCUCAGUGGUUAAGAACACUGACUGCUCUGCCAGAGGUCCUGAGU
rnacentral:snRNA from 1 species